rnacentral:rRNA from 1 species
GUGGGGAAUAUUGGGCAAUGGAGGAAACUCUGACCCAGCGACGCCGCGUGCGGGAUGAAGGCCUUCGGGUUGUAAACCGCUUUCAGCAGGGAAUAAGCGCAAGUGAAGGUACCUGCAGAAGAAGCACCGGCUAACUAUGUGCCAGCAGCCGCGGUAAUACAUAGGGUGCAAGCGUUGUCCGGAAUUAUUGGGCGUAAAGAGCUCGUAGGUGGUUUGUUACGUCGGUUGUGAAAUUCAGGGGCUCAACCCCUGACUUGCAUCCGAUACGGGCAAGCUAGAGUUUGGUAGGGGAGACUGGAAUUCCUGGUGUAGCGGUGGAAUGCGCAGAUAUCAGGAGGAACACCGAUGGCGAAGGCAGGUCUCUGGGCCAAUACUGACACUGAGGAGCGAAAGCGUGGGGAGCGAA